rnacentral:rRNA from 1 species
CCUACGGGUGGCACCAGUGGGGAAUAUCGCACAAUGGGCGCAAGCCUGAUGCAGCCAUGCCGCGUGUAUGAGGAAGGCCUUCGGGUUGUAAAGUACUUUCAGCGGGGAGGAAGGCGAUAAGGUUAAUAACCUUGUCGAUUGACGUUACCCGCAGAAGAAGCACCGGCUAACUCCGUGCCAGCAGCCGCGGUAAUGCGGAGGGUGCAAGCGUUAAUCGGAAUUACUGGGCGUAAAGCGCACGCAGGCGGUCUGUCAAGUCGGAUGUGAAAUCCCCGGGCUCAACCUGGGAACUGCAUUCGAAACUGGCAGGCUGGAGUCUUGUAGAGGGGGGUAGAAUUCCAGGUGUAGCGGUGAAAUGCGUAGAGAUCUGGAGGAAUACCGGUGGCGAAGGCGGCCCCUGGACAAAGUCUGACGCUCAGGUGCGAAAGCGUGGGGAGCAAACAGGAUUAGAUACCCCAGUAGUC